rnacentral:misc_RNA from 1 species
GGAAGUAAAAGUAACAAGGUUUCCGUAGGUGAACCUGCGGAAGGAUCAUUAUUGUAUAACCGAGGUGCGAGGGCUGUCGCUGACCCGAAAGGUCGUGCACGCCCGAGUGCCCUCACACACAUCCAUCUCACCCCUAUGUGCACCACCGCGUGGGUCCCCCUUUGGCUUGUUCGGAGGGGGGCUUACGUUUUCACACAAACUUUGUAUGCAGUGUAGAAUGUAUUUUUUGUUUUUGCGAUCACGCAAUCAAUACAACUUUCAACAACGGAUCUCUUGGCUCUC